AUUGAACGCUGGCGGCAGGCCUAACACAUGCAAGUCGAGCGGAUGAAGGGAGCUUGCUCCUGGAUUCAGCGGCGGACGGGUGAGUAAUGCCUAGGAAUCUGCCUGGUAGUGGGGGAUAACGUCCGGAAACGGGCGCUAAUACCGCAUACGUCCUGAGGGAGAAAGUGGGGGAUCUUCGGACCUCACGCUAUCAGAUGAGCCUAGGUCGGAUUAGCUAGUUGGUGGGGUAAAGGCCUACCAAGGCGACGAUCCGUAACUGGUCUGAGAGGAUGAUCAGUCACACUGGAACUGAGACACGGUCCAGACUCCUACGGGAGGCAGCAGUGGAGAAUAUUGGACAAUGGGCGAAAGCCUGAUCCAGCCAUGCCGCGUGUGUGAAGAAGGUCUUCGGAUUGUAAAGCACUUUAAGUUGGGAGGAAGGGCAGUAAGUUAAUACCUUGCUGUUUUGACGUUACCAACAGAAUAAGCACCGGCUAACUUCGU
rnacentral:rRNA from 1 species